UACGUAGGGGCGUAGCGUUAUCCGGAAUUACUGGGCGUAAAGGGUGCGUAGGUGGUUUCUUUAAGUCAGAGGUGAAAGGCUACGGCUCAACCGUAGUAAGCCUUUGAAACUGGGAAACUUGAGUGCAGGAGAGGAGAGUGGAAUUCCUAGUGUAGCGGUGAAAUGCGUAGAUAUUAGGAGGAACACCGGUGGCGAAGGCGGGUCUCUGGGCCUUACCUGACGCUGAGGAGCGAAAGCAUGGGUAGCCAACAGGAUUAGAUACCCGGGUAGUCCCUGAGCGGGGCUGG
rnacentral:rRNA from 1 species